rnacentral:rRNA from 1 species
GGUUAAGCGACUAAGCGUACACGGUGGAUGCCCUGGCAGUCAGAGGCGAUGAAGGACGUGCUAAUCUGCGAUAAGCGUCGGUAAGGUGAUAUGAACCGUUAUAACCGGCGAUUUCCGAAUGGGGAAACCCAGUGUGAUUCGUCACACUAUCAUUAACUGAAUCCAUAGGUUAAUGAGGCGAACCGGGGGAACUGAAACAUCUAAGUACCCCGAGGAAAAGAAAUCAACCGAGAUUCCCCCAGUAGCGGCGAGCGAACGGGGAGCAGCCCAGAGCCUGAAUCAGUGUGUGUGUUAGUGGAAGCGUCUGGAAAGGCGCGCGAUACAGGGUGACAGCCCCGUACACAAAAAUGCACAUGCUGUGAGCUCGAUGAGUAGGGCGGGACACGUGGUAUCCUGUCUGAAUAUGGGGGGACCAUCCUCCAAGGCUAAAUACUCCUGACUGACCGAUAGUGAACCAGUACCGUGAGGGAAAGGCGAAAAGAACCCCGGCGAGGGGAGUGAAAAAGAACCUGAAACCGUGUACGUACAAGCAGUGGGAGCACGCUUCGGCGUGUGACUGCGUACCUUUUGUAUAAUGGGUCAGCGACUUAUAUUCUGUAGCAAGGUUAACCGAAUAGGGGAGCCGAAGGGAAACCGAGUCUUAACUGGGCGUUAAGUUGCAGGGUAUAGACCCGAAACCCGGUGAUCUAGCCAUGGGCAGGUUGAAGGUUGGGUAACACUAACUGGAGGACCGAACCGACUAAUGUUGAAAAAUUAGCGGAUGACUUGUGGCUGGGGGUGAAAGGCCAAUCAAACCGGGAGAUAGCUGGUUCUCCCCGAAAGCUAUUUAGGUAGCGCCUCGUGAAUUCAUCUCCGGGGGUAGAGCACUGUUUCGGCAAGGGGGUCAUCCCGACUUACCAACCCGAUGCAAACUGCGAAUACCGGAGAAUGUUAUCACGGGAGACACACGGCGGGUGCUAACGUCCGUCGUGAAGAGGGAAACAACCCAGACCGCCAGCUAAGGUCCCAAAGUCAUGGUUAAGUGGGAAACGAUGUGGGAAGGCCCAGACAGCCAGGAUGUUGGCUUAGAAGCAGCCAUCAUUUAAAGAAAGCGUAAUAGCUCACUGGUCGAGUCGGCCUGCGCGGAAGAUGUAACGGGGCUAAACCAUGCACCGAAGCUGCGGCAGCGACACUAUGUGUUGUUGGGUAGGGGAGCGU